rnacentral:rRNA from 1 species
ACAGCAGUAGCCACGGUAAUACGUAGGGCGCAAGCGUUAUCCGGAAUUAUUGGGCGUAAAGAGCUCGCAGGCGGUUUGUCGCGUCUGCCGUGAAAGUCCGGGGCUCAACCCCGGAUCUGCGGUGGGUACGGGCAGACUAGAGUGAUGUAGGGGAGACUGGAAUUCCUGGUGUAGCGGUGAAAUGCGCAGAUAUCAGGAGGAACACCGAUGGCGAAGGCAGGUCUCUGGGCAUUAACUGACGCUGAGGAGCGAAAGCAUGGGGAGCGAACAGGAUUAGAUACCCGCGUAGUCCCUGUCUCUUAUAA